UCCCUGGUGGUCUAGCCGCUAAGAUUCCAUGCUCCCAAUGCAGGAGGCCUAGGUUCGAUUCCUGGUCAGGGAA
rfam:Ovis aries breed Texel chromosome 9, whole genome shotgun sequence.